UACGAAGGGGGCAAGCGUUGUUCGGAAUUACUGGGCGUAAAGCGCGUGUAGGCGGCGGCGUAAGUCGAAUGUGAAAGCCCUUGGCUUAACCAAGGAAGUGCAUUCGAUACUGUGUCGCUUGAGUACCGGAGGGGAUGGCGGAAUUCCUGGUGUAGAGGUGAAAUUCGUAGAUAUCAGGAGGAACACCUGUGGCGAAGGCGGCCAUCUGGACGGUGACUGACGCUGAGACGCGAAAGCGUGGGUAGCAAACAGG
rnacentral:rRNA from 1 species